AGCGAACGCUGGCGGCAGGCCUAACACAUGCAAGUCGAACGAACCCUUCGGGGUUAGUGGCGGACGGGUGAGUAACACGUGGGAACGUGCCUUUAGGUUCGGAAUAACUCAGGGAAACUUGUGCUAAUACCGAAUGUGCCCUUCGGGGGAAAGAUUUAUCGCCUUUAGAGCGGCCCGCGUCUGAUUAGUUAGUUGGUGAGGUAAUGGCUCACCAAGGCUACGAUCAGUAGCUGGUCUGAGAGGAUGACCAGCCACAUUGGGACUGAGACACGGCCCAAGCUCCUACGGGAGGCAGCAGUGGGGAAUCUUGCGCAAUGGGCGAAAGCCUGACGCAGCAAUGCCGCGUGGAUGAUGAAGGUCUUAGGAUUGUAAAAUCCUUUCACCGGUGAAGAUAAUGACUGUAGCCGGAGAAGAAGCCCCGGCUAACUUCGUGCCAGCCGCCGCAGUAACAC
rnacentral:rRNA from 1 species